AGGAUUUUAUCUGAACGCUAGAGUUGAGAAUAAGCAUUGCUCUCUGACAGAGAACAGAGAGAGGGCCAUAUUACAGUUCAUGCAAACUUUUGGUUUUGAUGAUCUGUGCUGCUCUGCACAGCUGAGGAUCUGAACAUUGACACAUGGACUGUUAUGAGACUCUAAUAGUUAAGCUUUCUCAGUAGGGAGGAUAUUAAGAAUGAGUAAUGUCAGAGACUAAGCAGACAUUUCAUUCCAAGAGCUUUCUGGAAGAAAGAAGUCUUUCUUUGGUAAUACUGGGAGAAGAGCAUGAAGUCAGAGGAAUAUUUUCUAAAUCAAGUGUAUUUGCUGUUUCUGGGCAGCUUGCUUGAAGAAUAGUAGUGUCUCCUCCAAAAAAAAAAAAAAAAAAGAAAAAAAAAGAAUUCCUAGCCUUUAUACUUGCUAAAAAACUGAUCCAAGCAAGAUGUAGCUGCCAAGCUGCCACAACUCCUAAGAGUUGCUCCUGGAGGAUUUCAGUCUUGAGUCCAGAUCAGAAACCGCAACAUUCACACACUACUUCAGGAAAGUUGUGUCUCUCUGCAGCUUCUUAAAGUUAUUUUGAAAACAUCUGAGAAAUGCAUUUCUGUGGCUGUUGCCUUGUGCUGUAAGUGAUGUCUUUUGAGCCAUAUCUUCACGGAGUCUGCAAAUAACUGAAACUCUUGCUGACCUGCACUUCUGACAUACCAUCAGCUAGAAUACUGCUUAACUAUCAGGGCAAAAAAUACAGGA